rnacentral:lncRNA from 1 species
CCCCUGUGCCAGGAGGAACCAAAAAGACCUCUUCAGAAGAAGACAGAUGCUGUAGAUUUAGGAUUGGAAAUGUUUAGAAGAAGACAAAGCCCGGGGGACCACGUUGACAAAUCGUGGCUGAAGAUGAGGUCACUCCUGAGGGACUAUCAUCAGGAUCUCAUGUUGGCUCUAGACGUCUCGUCGUUUUACCAACAAGCCGACAGCAUCAUUGGCGCCAUUAACAGCAAGAGGAACCGUGUAUUAGCGGGCGAAAUCCAAAAAAGCGACAAAGAGACCAGAGAAAUUGCCUGUCAGAUCAACAUGCUGAAUGAGUCUGCGUCUUGCCUGUCAACUCUCCACCCAACCCUGGCCAGAAGAGUAAUAUGCAAACAGGCCGAGGUGAAGGAGAACUGGGCACUUCUCCAGGACUUUCUCCAGAACCAGAAGACAGAUGUUUCUUCAAAAUGCCCUUCAACGUUACCCGCUGAUCCUCUAACCACAUGCCCUGAGAGCUUUGCUAGAAAUGAGGGUCACAGUGUAAUAGGAAAAGACGUCAAAGAAGAGCAAAACCGUCUCCGAGGAUUUGAGUGCUCUCAAGGCCUGUGGACCCAUAGGAUGUGGAGUCCGGUUGAGGAAUGUUCUGUAGGCAGUCGGGACUCACUGUUGGAGAGCAGCUGUUCCAAGCUGGACAAUGUCUCUGAAAAAGAGGACAGGAAGAGCUGUAUCGGCCAGAGGGCUCAAACAACCCCUGUUUCCUCUCAAGAAUGUCUCAGACCCAAGCUGUUGAAGGAGUCGACAACAUCCACUGGAAUGAAUGAAGAGCAUGACUGCUCAAAGCAAAGACAAGACCACAAAAUAGAGGAGCUCCUAAGCCAGGUGGAGGUCCUUUGGGAUGCUUUGCAGAAGAAAUAUGGAGAGAACAAUAAGACCGAAACAGUUUCAAACAAUCUCCCAGAAAAUGUAGAGGAAUGCCGUUCAGGAAUGCUCGAAAAGUUCCUUGAACUGCUGGAUCACAGUGGUUGUCACAAAAUAAGUCAGGAUGUUCCUGGAUCUCUGCAAAGGCAAGAAAUAGACGAGGCUGCAGAAAUGUCACUAAAUCUAAUGAGUCAUCAAACUGAACAAGAAAGACCCCGGAAGCAGGACCAGAUCACUAAUGAUCUACAAAGCUCGCUAUCUACUCUAACAUUGCGGAUAAACCAGCACCUCUGCAGCUGUGCUGAGCUCAGUAUGGACCUCCUGGACAUAGAAACAGAUAUGGCUGUGCUUUGUGACCCUGACCUCAGCGGUCUGGAGGGGCUACAGGAGCAGCAGGAUGACCUAGAGGCUCAUUAUAAUAUAAUUGAGGGAGAGGUGAGAGAGAUGGAGAGACUAGCCAGUCAGCUACAAGUUCAUCCCCCAGAGCAGAGAGACCCUCUCAGGGAAGAGGUUCUGGCGAUCCUGCAGGCUGGGGAGGAAGUAGGCCGCAACAUGGUUGAAAACAGAGGGCGCCUGGAGAAUUUCCACCAGAUUCAGGACUACUUCGAUAACUAUCUUGCCAUGAUUUCGUGGACGGAGAACACCAGAUCCUGUAUCCUUGCUGGCAGCUCUGCUUGGAGAGAUAGUGAAGUUGCAGAGAUUGAUCGCAGCAUUGAAACAAAGCUGGAUGAGUUUAGCAAACUGGCUGCAGCUGGUCAAAUGCUUAUGCAAGAUGAGAGUCAGUUUAAAGACAUUAUCAAGGAGAGAACAGAUGAGUUGCAAAGCAUGCUGGGAUGGAUCCAGGUGAACUGGCACGCUCAAAGAGAGCAGCUUAAAAGAAACCAAAAUGGGAGACCAGAAUCAACAAAUGAUCUUGUUCAACAGCAGGCUAUGCCUUUCAAAAAACCUUCUAACAGUAUGUGCAUUGUAAAUGAAGAGGUCAAAGGAAGUGCUAUUGAAACACAGCCCUCUCAAAACAACUUUGAGCAACUGAGUGGGAGGCAUGAUGUGUCCAGUGUUGUUAGUCAGGAGUCCUGCCUUUCAAAGACAUCCCUAGGCUCUAGCAUCUGUCUCAUUUUGAGCUUUGAUGAUCAGUCUUCAGGCAUCAACCAAGUGACAAAGCAACGGUCACCCAACAAUAAUGAAAUACUCGAAGAGUCAGCAAACAGCAUUCAGGCAGACAGACGUCAAUCACAAGACAAAAACUCAAUGCAAAUGCAAGAUCCAAAAGAAAUGCUUCAGGUGAGAUGGCCGAAUGAAUCAGUUAUGAGUAAAGAGACCAAACCCAAGUCAUCUUGUGUAAAUCUUGCACAGUUGCAAAUCAAAAACCAAGGAGAACCAGACCAGUCACCAAACAAGGAGGAAAUAUCCAGCCAAUUGUCCACAUAUAACACUGAAUCAUCCAUUUGCAAUCACCUACCAGAGAAUCUGCAGUACAACAACAACCAAACAUAUCUGCAGCUAUCACCAGACAUUGAUCAAAUGCAAAAUCCAGAGCAUCAAGUGCAAAAACCUCAGUCACAAAGCUACAGUCAGAACUCGACGCAGAAAUCUGCACACAACAAUCUAGAAAUAAACCAAAACCAAAGUGACGACCACCUGCGGCAUGAAGUGGCAACUGAAGUCACUCAUAGAGUGUUCACGUAUUUGCACGUCUCGGAUAGUUACAGAUCCACAGGGCGAGCCUUGGAGGUUGUGUCCUCGACACAUGCAGCAGGGCAGGACGUGACAACCCCUGCAUCAGGUUCCUCCUCAGUUCAAUCGUCCUCCUUCCUUUGGCAAAAUGUCACACUUGAGAGAGGAACGGUUUACAAUCACAACAGAUUCAAGCCAAGUUCUUUGUUCAAGCUGAAAGAGCCAGUCAGGAGUAAGGAGGAAACCCAGCGAAGGAGCUCUCUGCUUGGCACUGUUGGAUCGGAAAGGUCUGGCAAACCUUCAAGCAUUUUCAGGCGAAGGUGUAACACUUGGCCAGAAGGAGAAAGGAGAGCGAAAGAAAGUCGAUCAAACUCCAAACUUCAGGUUUUUAUUAAAAAAAACAUGUUGCCGGUGAAUUCUGUCAUCGAUAACAAGUCCGAAUAUUUUCCAGAAGACAAUUUGCCUAAUGCUGUCAAGACUUCAAGUGAACCAGUUAAAAACAUCGGCUCUUAUUUGUCUCUAGGAUCCACUCUUAGCUUCAAUCUUCCCAAGUGCUUUCACAACAGUGUCUUGGACAUGGAAAAUAAAGAGGAGAUUCAACCUGUCCAGACUUAUGAUGACUCAAGCAACCAAACAUUACCCUCAGCUCGAACGCCACAGUCAGAAAUGGAGGUAGAACCAGUGAUUCAUACUAAACAAACUGAGUUAAACCUUCAUACGGUUGAUGUGAAAGAUUUGGACAAUACAGAAGAACCAACCACUGAGGUUGAGACCCAACAGUUAAACCAAGUUUAUGAACGCACAGAACCUGUUAUGAGGGUUUUCACAUUGGCUGAAUAUGAAAAACCUGAUAAUGUUUCCUCCAGCCAUCACAAAGCCUCUUCUCCAGUGGUUAAUGGCUCCGCCUCGGUCACUCACUGCGGGCCUCUGUGUCCUUCUUCAUCAGGUGGUCACAAUUGCUUAAGUGCUUACACUAAACUUAAAGACCUGAAUGAUCACUUAUAUUACACAUCCAAACACAUGAAGAUAAACUCCUCAAAAAACUUGUUCCCUAAUAGCCCAGUCUCUCGUAAGAGCGGCCGCAUCAUAAACUGUGGUCUGAGAGACUGUGCAGUGUGUUUCAGUGAUACAGUGAAAGAGACAAGUGUAGACUGUGCAGAGAAACCUGACAUCAGCAUGGAGGAGCUUCUUAAGCCAGGCCACUGGCUAUUCCAGCAAGAGGAAGAGGAACUGGAAGAUAUCUGGAGAGGAAGAAUGGGUAUUCUCUCUUCAAACUGUACUGUGGAAACAAAUACGGAUGAAGAAACAGGUAUAGGAGAGGAUUCUUACAAUAAAGGUCAAUGACUGAUAUUGAAUUAAGAAAUGAAUAUUUUUAUUCAUAAUGGACAUAUUAAAUUGACCAAAAGUGACAGU